rnacentral:rRNA from 1 species
UACGAAGGGGGCUAGCGUUGCUCGGAAUUACUGGGCGUAAAGCGCACGUAGGCGGAUCUUUAAGUCAGGGGUGAAAUCCUGGAGCUCAACUCCAGAACUGUCCUUUGAUACUGAGGACCUUGAGUUCGGGAGAGGUGAGUGGAACUGCGAGUGUAGAGGUGAAAUUCGUAGAUAUUCGCAAGAACACCAGUGGCGAAGGCGGCUCACUGGCCCGGUACUGACGCUGAGGUGCGAAAGCGUGGGGAGCAAACAGG